rnacentral:misc_RNA from 1 species
UGGCUCUCGCAUCGAUGAAGAACGCAGCGAAAUGCGAUAAGUAAUGUGAAUUGCAGAAUUCAGUGAAUCAUCGAAUCUUUGAACGCACCUUGCGCUCCUUGGUAUUCCGAGGAGCAUGCCUGUUUGAGUGUCGUGGAAUCAUCAACUCUCGUUCCUUCCUUCUUCUCGGAGAAAGGUGGGCGCGAGGGCUUGGAUUUUGGAGGUUUUUUUGCUGACGGGCUUUUUCCGCUCUUUGGCUCCUCUUGAAUGCAUUAGCUCGAACCUCUCCGCUGUAUCGGCUUUCGGUGUGAUAGUUGUCUACGCCGUGGCUGUGAGGCCUUCUGUAGUGUGGGGUUUUGCUUACAAAAAAAAUGUCUCUCUGAACGGGGGAUGACAGCGAUUUUUGACCUCUGACCUCAAAUCAGGUAGGAUUACCCGCUGA